CAGAGUUGAUCCUGGCUCAGGAUGAACGCUAGCUACAGGCUUAACACAUGCAAGUCGAGGGGCAGCAUCAUCAAAGCUUGCUUUGAUGGAUGGCGACCGGCGCACGGGUGAGUAACACGUAUCCAACCUGCCGACAACACUGGGAUAUCCUUUCGAAAGAAAGAUUAAUACCGGAUGGCAUAAUUAUUCCGCAUGGGAUAAUUAUUAAAGAAUUUCGGUUGUCGAUGGGGAUGCGUUCCAUUAGG
rnacentral:rRNA from 1 species